CCUGCAAAUUAUGCCUCACUUAGGCUCAGAUUCAGGAAAACCCAGACCAAGCUUGGGAUUCUAAGAGUCUCUCCAUGCAAGCUGACCUCAUGGAGAAAGUGGCAGAGCUUGUCCCUUCCACUGGGAGACCCUGGAGUUCAUUCAGGAGACUGGAUGCCCCUGGGCUCGGGCUGCACUGUGGACCCCACUGUGGAAUCACCACUCCCAGGCUGACCUCAGGCAGGUUCCAGAUCUGUUCUCCACUUCUGCAACAAAACUUACCCGGGCCGUGGUUUUAUGCAGAAAUCUGACAAGCACUUGGCUCAGGACACCAAUCAGGGCACUAGUGACACUCGACAAUUUAAGAUCCAAGGCCAAGUGUCCCCUCAGAGGCCCCAACCUCAGCACAGGCAGGUCCAUCAAGAGGUUUCCAGAAGAAGGCAUCGCUAUCACAGGAGACGGCAGCUCCAUGCCUGUUACUGCCCCUGAAGAUGUUCCAGUGGGACAGGGUGUGGAGGUGGAAGACAGCAACAGUGACGAUCCUGACCCUAAAUAAGCCUAGGCUGAUGUGUGUGUGUCUUGGUUUUUAACAAAAAGUGUUAAAAAGUAAAAAUAAAUAAAAA